CCUGAGAAACCCAAAAGAUCGAAUGGGGAGAUUCAUCGUCAGCGAUUUUGGUACGUGUGCGGUCUCGCGAUGCAGGAGACUUCGGUCACCAGGCACGCGUCCGCAUGUUUUUUAUUGCCUUAAUCGUCGGCGUGCACUUCUCCCCUAGUAGGACGUCGCGACCCGUUGGGUGUCGGUCUACGGCCUGGGUGGUAGCCUGUCUCGUGUUCGCUUCGCGGCGUUACGCGGUUCAGACCCCCGGUUGCCCGACCGGCUGCCCGGCGGUACUCGCACGGUAUCUGGCCGCAAAUAUUCGAACUGCGUCCGGCCCGUCGCAAGCGCGGCAAGUGUUUCCCGGUUGUACGGAUCUAAUGCCGUCACCGGGCCUUGCCCGCUGUUGGUUGACGGUGUCCUAGGACUGGCUAAUACAAUUAUGAUACCGGUCGGCGACGCUACUGCUUUGGGUACUUUCAGGACCCGUCUUGAAACACGGACCAAGGAGUCUAACAUGUGCGCGAGUCAUUGGGAACUGUUAAGCCUAAAGGCGCAAUGAAAGUGAAGGUCGGCCUCGCGCCGACCGAGGGAGGAUGGGCCGCGUCACGAUGCGGUCCCGCACUCCCGGGGCGUCUCGUUCUCAUUGCGAGAAGAGGCGCAC
rnacentral:rRNA from 1 species